ACUCUUUAGGGAGAGAGUGCUGACACUUAAUGGGUAAAGGAACUUGAAAUGAAAAAAUAAAAAUUCUUCAUGAUAUCAAUUGUCUGAUUUCUGGUUCCAGUUGGAACAUAUGAUUUCAGAGAAGAGCGGCAAUAUUGGGACCAGCUUCCUGCCUAGACAUUGCUGUGGAUUUGAUUGAUUACUAUUUUCCCAGAUUGCAAGCAGGGUACCUGAAGUGUGGUGCUGGACUUGAUCAAAUCCCCUGACUCAAUUCAAGUUCAGGUAGUGACUCAACUUGAGUGGAGCCUAUUAGAUUUGACUCAACUUGAUUGUAGCAAUUGACAAGACCCAACUUGAUCAUACAAUGAAAUAACUUGACUUGUGACUCGAUAUGUAAGCAAUUCAACUUGUGGCUCAAACUUGGGUUGCUCAUACCCUGGUUUGAGAGGCUCUUGAAGAAUGGCAAGGGAAAAUAAUGGUAAGGCGAAAUAACAAUUUGGUGAAAGAGCCUCAAACCGUUUGUGAAUCUCACUUCCAUACAUGAUUAGGUUCAGGAACUGAACCUCCUAUGCAAUUGGCUGUGUAAAAUAAACAAAUAUUGAACUGCUCAAUUUAGCAAUGAUUUUAAUUAAUUAAUAAUGUAUAUAAUUUUUUUAUAUUUUCCAAAACGGUUUGAC
rnacentral:lncRNA from 1 species